AUAUUUUCACCUUGCAACAUUAUGCAGUUAAUUUUGGUCCUGAGUAUUGGAGGUCAUCGGAAAUUAAUUUGGUUUGCUCAACAUACUGAUGAACUUUAGAAUGCUACUUUUUAAGGUUAACUGAGGUGAAAGUACAUAAGAUUAUCAAUAUUAAUCGCUCUUUAUUACACUGUUAUGGCAUUUCUUUUAACAAUUAUAUAUUCUCCACAGUAUAAAUUGACACGCCUCUAUGUUAUUUACAUUAGUUUAACCAAGUAUUACGCACAUUAUUUACUAAGGAUGCUAAAAUACUGUAUCAUUUUACAGGAACAUUGGAAGAACUCCAGAUUCUGUUAAAUUAUGGGGAAUUGGUUGUCUCAGUCGUCAAUUGCUUUAGAAAGUAGCUGUAUCUAUGGUCUUAAAAAAAAGCAUGAAAACGUGUGUUCAGUGUGCUGUUGCUAAAGAAAGGAUUUAUGACAUUGAACUGAUUGUCGUAACAAAUUAGAAGAUAUUGAUGCUACUGAAACAACCGAUGCUUUUGAUGUUUUCAUCUUCCAACAUUAUGCAGUUAGUUUUGGGCCUGAGAAUGGGAGGUAAAUGGAAAUUAAUUUGGAAGCCACUGAAACAACAAAUUGUCUGCAGUGAUAUCCCUCCUAUAUUUGUUUUGCUCUGCUUAUGAUACUGAUAGACUUUGGAACGCUACUUUCUACAGGUAGUCAAGAUCUUUCAACAAAGAGGGAGUUAAGGUUCA